UACGUAGGGUGCGAGCGUUAAUCGGAAUUACUGGGCGUAAAGCGUGCGCAGGCGGCUUCGCAAGUCAGACGUGAAAUCCCCGGGCUUAACCUGGGAAUGGCGUUUGAAACUACGGAGCUGGAGUGUGGCAGAGGGAGGUAGAAUUCCACGUGUAGCGGUGAAAUGCGUAGAUAUGUGGAGGAAUACCGAUGGCGAAGGCAGCCUCCUGGGCCAACACUGACGCUCAUGCACGAAAGCGUGGAGAGCAAACAGG
rnacentral:rRNA from 1 species